AGUGAACGCUGGCGGUAGGCCUAACACAUGCAAGUCGAACGGCAGCACAGUAAGAGCUUGCUCUUACGGGUGGCGAGUGGCGGACGGGUGAGGAAUACAUCGGAAUCUACUUUUUCGUGGGGGGUAACGUAGGGAAACUUACGCUAAUACCGCAUACGACCUACGGGUGAAAGCAGGGGAUCUUCAGACCUUGCGCGAUUGAAUGAGCCGAUGUCGGAUUAGCUAGUUGGCGGGGUAAAGGCCCACCAAGGCGACGAUCCGUAGCUGGUCUGGGAGGAUGAUCAGCCACACUGGAACUGAGACACGGUCCAGACUCCUACGGGAGGCAGCAGUGGGGAAUAUUGGACAAUGGGCGCAAGCCUGAUCCAGCCAUACCGCGUGGGUGAAGAAGGCCUUCGGGUUGUAAAGCCCUUUUGUUGGGAAAGAAAAGCAGCAGGUUAAUACCCCGCUGUUCUGACGGUACCCAAAGAAUAAGCACCGGCUAACUUCGUG
rnacentral:rRNA from 1 species